GUGUUGGUUUUGGCAACACAAAUACUGAAAUUUGAAUGAUACAGAGAAGAUUAGUGUGGCUCUUGUGAAAAUGUGACACACAACAGAAUUAAAUAGAAUGUUAUUAU